UACGAAGGGGGCUAGCGUUGCUCGGAAUCACUGGGCGUAAAGGGUGCGUAGGCGGGUCUUUAAGUCAGGGGUGAAAUCCUGGAGCUCAACCUCCAGAACUGCCUUUGAUACUGAGGAUCUUGAGUUCGGGAGAGGUGAGUGGAACUGCGAGUGUAGAGGUGAAAUUCGUAGAUAUUCGCAAGAACACCAGUGGCGAAGGCGGCUCACUGGCCCGAUACUGACGCUGAGGCACGAAAAGCGUGGGGGAGCAAACAGGAUUA
rnacentral:rRNA from 1 species